rnacentral:rRNA from 1 species
GACGAACGCUGGCGGCGUGCCUAAUACAUGCAAGUUGAGCGCUGAAGGUUGGUACUUGUACCAACUGGAUGAGCAGCGAACGGGUGAGUAACGCGUGGGGAAUCUGCCUUUGAGCGGGGGACAACAUUUGGAAACGAAUGCUAAUACCGCAUAAAAACUUUAAACACAAGUUUUAAGUUUGAAAGAUGCAAUUGCAUCACUCAAAGAUGAUCCCGCGUUGUAUUAGCUAGUUGGUGAGGUAAAGGCUCACCAAGGCGAUGAUACAUAGCCGACCUGAGAGGGUGAUCGGCCACAUUGGGACUGAGACACGGCCCAAACUCCUACGGGAGGCAGCAGUAGGGAAUCUUCGGCAAUGGACGAAAGUCUGACCGAGCAACGCCGCGUGAGUGAAGAAGGGUUUCGGAUCGGAAAACUCUGUUGGCAGAGAAGAACGUUGGUGAGAGUGGAAAGCUCAUCAAGUGACGGUAACUACCCAGAAAGGGACGGCUAACUACGUG